GAUGAACGCUAGCGACAGGCCUAACACAUGCAAGUCGAGGGGCAGCACAUGCGUAGCAAUACAAUGGUGGCGACCGGCGCACGGGUGAGUAACACGUAUGCAACCUACCUGUAAGAGGGGAAUAACCCGGAGAAAUUCGGACUAACACCGCAUAAUACCUCGAAGCUGCAUGGCUUUGAGGUUAAAUAUUUAUAGCUUACAGAUGGGCAUGCGUAACAUUAGAUAGUUGGUGAGGUAACGGCUCACCAAGUCAACGAUGUUUAGGGGUUCUGAGAGGAAGGUCCCCCACACUGGUACUGAGACACGGACCAGACUCCUACGGGAGGCAGCAGUGAGGAAUAUUGGUCAAUGGGCGAGAGCCUGAACCAGCCAAGUCGCGUGAAGGAAGAAGGUUCUAUGGAUUGUAAACUUCUUUUGUAAGGGAUAAAAAAGCUUACGUGUAGGCUAUUGUAUGUACUUUACGAAUAAGGAUCGGCUAACUCCGUGCCAGCCGCCGCGGUAA
rnacentral:rRNA from 1 species